AGUCAUGCUUCACUUUCAGCAGCGAAGACUACAACUCCCAUGAUCCCACGCGGCUCCUCCCAGCAGGUGUCUCAGAGGACAUCUGAUGUGCUCUGUGUGCAGGCGGCGUGGUGCGCGUGCUGUGUCCGCCCGGUCAGCCCGUCACGUUGCCGUGUUCCUAUCAGUAUGAGGACCACACGAACAUCUCGCAGCUGUCUGUGCAGUGGAGGAGCCCGCGCAACCGGCUGCUGUGUCACUACAUCAAACACAAAGCCUUCCGGAACUGCACGGCGGGCUACACCAUCAGCUACAGCCCCGGCACCAUCACCCUGAGCAUCCAGCGCGUCCGGGUCCAGGACUACGGGACUCACGUUUGUUCUGUGAGCAAACCGCACGAGUUCUCUGACUACAGCGUCGAGCUGGCCAGGAUGUCAGAUUCUGUCACUGCAGCGCCAAACUGUGGAUGGAAGCAGCCAGGUCCCGUCUGGACUCCCGUUCUUCUCCUCGCUUUGGGAUCGUCUGUUGGCAUGUAGCAGAUGGACAGUGGAAACAUUGCUGCUUAUCGAACUUAAUUAAAAUGUAAUGACAGAUGUGUUCAGCGACAGACACGCUUCACUUAGUCUGAAAAAUGAAGCCACACAGAAGCUAAACUCGUGUUGUGCAGAGCUCUCAAUAAAACCUGUCAGUGUGUGUGUUU